rnacentral:tRNA from 1 species
GUUGGAAUAGCUCAGUUGGUUAGAGCGUGUGACUGUUAACCGCAAGCUCAAAGGUUCAAUCCCUUCUUCUAGCG